GACGAACGCUGGCGGCGUGCUUAACACAUGCAAGUCGAACGGAAAGGCCCUGCUUUUGUUGGGUGCUCGAGUGGCGAACGGGUGAGUAACACGUGAGUAACCUGCCCUUGACUUUGGGAUAACUUCAGGAAACUGGGGCUAAUACCGGAUAGGAGCUCCUGCUGCAUGGUGGGGGUUGGAAAGUUUCGGCGGUUGGGGAUGGACUCGCGGCUUAUCAGCUUGUUGGUGGGGUAGUGGCUUACCAAGGGUUUGACGGGUAGCCGGCCUGAGAGGGUUACCGGCGACAUUGGGACUGAGAGACGGCCCAGAAGCGUACGGGAGGCAGCGGUGGGGAAUAUUGCACAAUGGGCGGAAGCCUGAGGCAGCAACGCCGGGUGCGGGAUGACGGCCUUCGGGUGAUGAACCGCUGUGGACUGUGACGAAGAGUGAGUGGCGGUAAUGGGUAAAGAAGCACCGGCUAACUACGUG
rnacentral:rRNA from 1 species